GUGCUUGCUUCGGCAGCACAUAUACUGAAAUUGGAACAAUACAGAAAAGAUUAGCAUGACGCCUGUGCAAGGAUGACACACAAAUUCAUGAAGCAUUCCAUAUUUGU
ensembl:snRNA U6 U6 spliceosomal RNA